GGCAAAAGAGAGCUUGAUUGCAAGACAUACAGGUCGAGCAAGGAUGAAAAUCGGACUUAGUGAUCCGGUGGUUCUGCGUGGAAGGGCCAUCGCUCAACGGAUAAAAGCUACCCUGGGGAUAACAGGCUUAUCUCCCCCAAGAGUCCACAUCGACGGGGAGGUUUGGCACCUCGAUGUCGGCUCAUCACAUCCUGGGGCUGUAGUAGGUCCCAAGGGUUGGGCUGUUCGCCCAUUAAAGUGGUACGCGAGCUGGGUUCAGAACGUCGUGAGACAGUUCGGUCCCUAUCCGUCGCAGGCGUAGGAAAUUUGAGAAGACCUGUCCUUAGUACGAGAGGACCGGGAUGGACGUACCUCUGGUGUACCAGUUGUCCUGCCAAGGGCAUUGCUGGGUAGCUAUGUACGGAAUGGAAAAGCGCUGAAAGCAUCUAAGCGCGAAGCCAACUUUAAGAAAAGAUGUCCCACCGCAAGGGUAAGACCCCAGAAAGACUAGCUGGUUGAUAGGUCGAAGUGAUAAGUGCAGCAAUGUAUUUAGCUAAUCGAUACUAAUAGGUCGAGGACUUGACCAAU
rnacentral:rRNA from 1 species